CAGUAGUCACGUAGUUUGAUCCUGGCUCAGAACGAACGCUGGCGGCAUGCCUAACACAUGCAAGUCGAACGAGACCUUCGGGUCUAGUGGCGCACGGGUGCGUAACACGUGGGAAUUUGCCUCGGGGUAUGGAAUAACUCAGGGAAACUUGAGCUAAUACCAUAUAAUGUCUUCGGACCAAAGAUUUAUCGCCUGAGAUAAGCCCGCGUAGGAUUAGCUAGUUGGUGGGGUAAAGGCUCACCAAGGCGACGAUCCUUAGCUGGUCUGAGAGGAUGAUCAGCCACACUGGGACUGAGACACGGCCCAGACUCCUACGGGAGGCAGCAGUGGGGGAAUAUUGGACAAUGGGCGAAAGCCUGAUCCAGCAAUGCCGCGUGAGUGAUGAAGGCCUUCGGGUUGUAAAGCUCUUUUACUCGGGACGAUAAUGACGGUACCGAGAGAAUAAGCCCCGGCUAACUCCGUG
rnacentral:rRNA from 1 species